UGGGGAAUAUUGGACACUGGGCGAAAGCCUGAUCCAGUCAUGCCGCGUGAGUGAUGAAGGCCCUAGGGUUGUAAAGCUCUUUCACCGGUGAAGAUAAUGACGGUAACCGGAGAAGAAGCCCCGGCUAACUUCGUGCCAGCAGCCGCGGUAAUACGAAGGGGGCUAGCGUUGUUCGGAAUUACUGGGCGUAAAGCGCACGUAGGCGGAUAUUUAAGUCAGGGGUGAAAUCCCGGGGCUCAACCCCGGAACUGCCUUUGAUACUGGGUAUCUAGAGUAUGGUAGAGGUGAGUGGAAUUCCGAGUGUAGAGGUGAAAUUCGUAGAUAUUCGGAGGAACACCAGUGGCGAAGGCGGCUCACUGGACCAUUACUGACGCUGAGGUGCGAAAGCGUGGGGAGCAAACA
rnacentral:rRNA from 1 species